rnacentral:lncRNA from 1 species
CCACAAGUUUGGUUGCGUGUUGCGUCUCCUAUUCCUGUCGUGUCCUGUCCUUUUCAUCUCUUUAUAUAUUUCUGUUUUUUAAAAGUUCUUUAUUUCUUAGGCCUUGUUUAGUUUAUCCAAAAACCAAAAAUUUUUAAAGAUUAUCUCCGUCAUAUCAAAUCUUGCGGCACAUGCAUAGAGCAUUAAAUAUAAAUGAAAACAAAAACUAAUUACACAAUUUAUAUGUAAAUGGCGAGAUAAAUCUUUUAAGCCUAGUUACUCCAUAAUUGGACAAUGUUUGUCGAAAAAAAACGAAAACACUACAGUGUCAAAAUAAAAAAAAUAGAUCUAAACAAGGCCUUGUCUCUUCGUCAGGGUGCAGCGUUAUCUAUAUGGUAUGACAUGGAUCAAUGUGUGAUAUAUAUCCCA